rnacentral:lncRNA from 1 species
AUACUCACUCCUGAACUCAGUGUAUAGAACUGGAAUAAAAGUUAGUUGCCCUUGCAGGCUCUGAGUCAGGCUGUCAAGCCCGUAGACCAGCUAUGGGCCAUGUCCUGCCCAGGCAUUCCAGGCAGGAGGAAGAGUUUGAGCAAACUCCAAAAGGGAAGAGGUGGCCAGGCCCUUUUGAAGAACUGCUGGCAGUUCAGUGAGACUGGAAUUUAUUCAUGUGGACAGAGGAUGUGGAGGUUAAGAAGUUCCAAGAUCUGCAGAUGGCAAGCUGGAGACCCAGGAGAUUUGAUGGUGUAAUUCCAGUCCAAGUCCAAAGGCCUGAGAACUAGGAGAGCUGUUGGUGCAAGUUCCGGUCAGAAAGCCAGCAGGUUCAGGAUCAAGGAAGAGCUGAUGUUUCAGUUCAAAUCCAAAAAACAGAAAACAAUGGAUGUCCCAGCUCACAGCAGUCAGGCAGGAGGAGUUCUCUCUAUUCAUGGGACGGUGAGCCUUUUUGUUCUAUUCAGGCCUUCAGCUGAUGGAAUGAGGUUAACCCACAUUAGGGAGG